rnacentral:rRNA from 1 species
CACGUAGGGGGCGAGCGUUGUCCGGAUUUAUUGGGCGUAAAGAGCUCGUAGGCGGCUCGGUAAGUCGGGUGUGAAAACUCGGGGGCUCAACCCCGAGACGCCACUCGAUACUGCUGUGGCUUGAGUCCGGUAGGGGAGCGUGGAAUUCCUGGUGUAGCGGUGAAAUGCGCAGAUAUCAGGAGGAACACCGGUGGCGAAGGCGGCGCUCUGGGCCGGUACUGACGUGAGGAGCGAAAGCGUGGGGAGCAAACAGG